AUGUCAUAGCGACUUUUGGGGUAGUUUGCUUUCGGCAAAGGGGGACAAAGUCAUGGGGUGAGAGGGAAGGAGGACCCAAAACAGCCUCCAAGACCCUCACCAUCUCUUCACCGGCUCCCCCUCCCCCCCCACAGGUCCUGUAAGAAGUUGGGCCCAGCUGGAAGGGAUUGACCGACGCCUCUUCGCCCUAGGCUGGCCUCUGCGGAGAUUCCAGGCCCCACAGAGACCAGGACUUCCCUCAGCGCCACCGCCCCUCGUGCCAAUGCAGCCGGGAAAUCGCCAUUACCCACACUGGGCAAGAGAAACCGCACGGGGGCAAUCGGAGAGGCCAGGAAAAGGGAGAGAUGGAGGGAGAAGGUUCCAGGUUGGCCGUACUCAGGAGCAGGCCGAACGGCCCAGAGGAAGCCCUGGCGUCCGGUGCUGCCAGGCUCACUGCGGACGCACCCCAGCCCGGUAAACUCACUGUCGCUCGCCGGGACUGGUUUCCCUUCAAUUUAAAAAUUUCAUGUGGAUCGCCCAUGCCAAUUUAGAAUGAAAUAGAUUUAAAUACAUAAAGUAAAAAUAAAUUGAAAUAAAAGCAAGGCAUCUGAUGAAAAA
rnacentral:lncRNA from 1 species